rnacentral:rRNA from 1 species
GAUGAACGCUGGCGGCGUGCCUAAUACAUGCAAGUCGAGCGGAAAGGCUACUUCGGUAGUACUCGAGCGGCGGACGGCUGAGUAACACGUAGGAACGUACCCCAAACUGAGGGAUAAGCACCAGAAAUGGUGUCUAAUACCGCAUGUGCUCUAAGGAGUAAAGCUUCGGCGGUUUGGGAACGGCCUGCGCAUGAUUAGCUUGUUGGUGAGGUAAUGGCUCACCAAGGCGACGAUCAUUAGCUGGUCUGAGAGGAUGAUCAGCCAGACUGGGACUGAGACACGGCCCAGACUCCUACGGGAGGCAGCAGUAGGGAAUUUUCCACAAUGGGCGAAAGCCUGAUGGAGCAACGCCGCGUGCAGGAUGAAGGCCUUCGGGUUGUAAACUGCUUUUAUAUGUGAAGAUUAUGACGGUAACAUAUGAAUAAGGAUCGGCUAACUCCGUGCCAGCAGCCGCGGUAA